GGAAUAUUGGUCAAUGGGCGCAAGCCUGAACCAGCCAAGUAGCGUGCAGGAUGACUGCCCUAUGGGUUGUAAACUGCUUUUAUACGGGGAUAAAGUCAGGGUCGUGACCCUGUUUGCAGGUACCGUAUGAAUAAGGACCGGCUAAUUCCGUGCCAGCAGCCGCGGUAAUACGGAAGGUCCGGGCGUUAUCCGGAUUUAUUGGGUUUAAAGGGAGCGCAGGCGGGCGUUUAAGCGUGACGUGAAAUGUAGCCGCUCAACGGCUGAACUGCGUCGCGAACUGGUUAUCUUGAGUGAGUUCGAUGUUGGCGGAAUUCGUGGUGUAGCGGUGAAAUGCUUAGAUAUCACGAAGAACUCCGAUUGCGAAGGCAGCCAACAAGGCCUUUACUGACGCUAAAGCUCGAAGGUGCGGGUAUCGAACA
rnacentral:rRNA from 1 species